rnacentral:rRNA from 1 species
GACGAACGCUGGCGGCGUGCUUAACACAUGCAAGUCGAGCGGUAAGGCCCUUUCGGGGGUACACGAGCGGCGAACGGGUGAGUAACACGUGGGUGACCUGCCCUUAGCUCUGGGAUAAGCCUGGGAAACUGGGUCUAAUACCGGAUAUGACUCCAUAACGCAUGUUGUGGGGUGGAAAGCCUUGUGCGGCUAGGGAUGGGCCCGCGGCCUAUCAGCUUGUUGGCGGGGUGAUGGCCACCAAGGCGACGACGGGUAGCCGGCCUGAGAGGGCGACCGGCCACACUGGGACUGAGACACGGCCCAGACCCCUACGGGAGGGCAGCAGUGGGGAAGUCUUGCGCAAUAGGGCGGAAAGACCUGACGCAGCGACGCCGCGUGGGGAGU